GACGAACGCUGGAGGCGUGCUUAACACAUGCAAGUCGAACGAUGAAAUGGAGCUUGCUCCAUGGAUUAGUGGCGAACGGGUGAGUAACACGUGAAUAACCUGCCCUUAAUUUUGGAAUAACCCAGGGAAACCUGGGCUAAUACCGGAUAAGUAAACCUGUGGCAUCACAUGGUUUUGGAACGUCUUUCGAUUAAGGAUGGAUUCGCGGCCUAUCAGCUUGUUGGUGAGGUAAUGGCUCACCAAGGCGACGACGGGUAGCCGGCCUGAGAGGGUGAACGGCCACACUGGGACUGAGACACGGCCCAGACUCCUACGGGAGGCAGCAGUGGGGAAUAUUGCGCAAUGGACGAAAGUCAGACGCAGCGACGCCUCGUGAGGGACGAAGGUCUUCGGAUUGUAAACCUCUUUCAGCAGGGACGAAGCGAAAGUGACGGUACCUGCAGAAGAAGCACCGGCUAACUAUGUGCCAGCCGCCGCCGUAA
rnacentral:rRNA from 1 species